AUUGAACGCUGGCGGCAUGCCUUACACAUGCAAGUCGAACGGUAACAGGUCUUCGGAUGCUGACGAGUGGCGAACGGGUGAGUAAUACAUCGGAACGUGCCCGAGAGUGGGGGAUAACGAAGCGAAAGCUUUGCUAAUACCGCAUACGAUCUCAGGAUGAAAGCAGGGGACCGCAAGGCCUUGCGCUCACGGAGCGGCCGAUGGCAGAUUAGGUAGUUGGUGGGAUAAAAGCUUACCAAGCCGACGAUCUGUAGCUGGUCUGAGAGGACGACCAGCCACACUGGGACUGAGACGCGGUCCAGACUCCUACGGGAGGCAGCAGUGGGGAAUUUUGGACAAUGGGCGCAAGCCUGAUCCAGCCAUGCCGCGUGCAGGAUGAAGGCCUUCGGGUUGUAAACUGCUUUUGUACGGAACGAAAAGACUCUGGUUAAUACCUGGGGUCCAUGACGGUACCGUAAGAAUAAGCACCGGCUAACUACGUGCCAGCCGCCGCCGUAA
rnacentral:rRNA from 1 species